rnacentral:rRNA from 1 species
GGUGUAGGCGGAUUGAUAAGUCAGAAGUGAAAGCCCCGGGCUCAACCUGGGAAGUGCUUUUGAUACUGUUGAUCUUGAGUGUGGGAGAGGAUAGUAGAAUUCCUGGUGUAGUGGUGAAAUACGUAGAUAUCAGGAGGAACACCGGUGGGGAAGCCGGCUGUCUGGCCCAACACUGACGCUCAGACCCGAAAGCGUGGGGAGCAAACAGGAUUAGAUACCCUGGUAGUCC